rnacentral:rRNA from 1 species
GACGAACGCUGGCGGCGUGCUUAACACAUGCAAGUCGAACGGAAAGGCCCUGCUUUUGUGGGGUGCUCGAGUGGCGAACGGGUGAGUAACACGUGAGUAACCUGCCCUUGACUUUGGGAUAACUUCAGGAAACUGGGGCUAAUACCGGAUAGGAGCUCCUGCUGCAUGGUGGGGGUUGGAAAGUUUCGGCGGUUGGGGAUGGACUCGCGGCUUAUCCGCUUGUUGGGGGGGUAGUGGCUUACCAAGGCUUUGACGGGUAGCCGGCCUGAGAGGGUGAACGGCCACAAGGGGACUGAGAGACGGCCCAGACUCCUACGGGAGGCAGCAGUGGGGAAUAUUGCACAAUGGGCGGAAGUCUGAUGCAGCAACGCCGCGUGCGGGAUGACGGCCUUCGGGUUGUAAACCGCUUUCGCCUGUGACGAAGCGUGAGUGACGGUAAUGGGUAAAGAAGCACCGGCUAACUACGUG